ANGGUGGUAGGCUGAAAUCUUAGGUAAAUCCGGGGUUUCAAGGCCGAGAGCUGAUGACGAGUCGUCUCUUUAGAUGACGAAGUGGUUGAUGCCAUGCUUCAAGAAAAGCUUCUAAGCUUCAGGUAACCAGGAACCGUACCCCAAACCGACACAGGUGGUCGGGUAGAGAAUACCAAGGCGCUUGAGAGAACUCGGGUGAAGAACUAGGCAAAAUGGCACCGUAACUUCGGGAGAAGGUGCGCCGGCUAGGGUGAAGGAUUUACUCCGUAAGCUCUGGCUGGUCGAAGAUACCAGGCCGCUGCGACUGUUUAUUAAAACACAGCGCUCUGCAAACACGAAAGUGGACGUAUAGGUGUGACGCCUGCCCGGUGCCGGACGGUUAAUUGAUGGGGUUAGCGCAAGCGAAGCUCUUGAUCGAAGCCCGGUUAACGGGGGGCGUAACAAUAACGGUCCUAGGUAGCGAAAUUCCUUGUCGGGCAAGUUCCGACCUGCACGAAUGGCGUAACGAUGGCGGCGCUGUCUCCACCCGAGACUCAGUGAAAUUGAAAUCGCUGUGAAGAUGCAGUGUAUCCGCGGCUAGACGGAAAGACCCCGUGAACCUUUACUGUAGUUUUGCACUGGACUUUGAGCCUGCUUGUGUAGGAUAGGUGGGAGGCUUUGAAGCGUGGACGCCAGUUCGCGUGGAGCCAUCCUUGAAAUACCACCCUGGCAUGCUGAGGUUCUAACUCUGGUCCGUAAUCCGGAUCGAGGACAGUGUAUGGUGGGCAGUUUGACUGGGGCGGUCUCCUCCUAAAGGGUAACGGAGAGUACGAAGGUGCGCUCAGACCGGUCGGAAAUCGGUCGCAGAGUAUAAAAGGCAAAAGCGCGCUUGACUGCGAGACAGACACGUCGAGCAGGUACGAAAAGUAGGUCUUAGUGAUCCGGUGGUUCUGUAUGGAAGGGCCAUCGCUCAACGGAUAAAAGGUACUCCGGGGAUAACAGGCUGAUACCGCCCAAGAGUUCAUAUCGACGGCGGUGUUUGGCACCUCGAUGUCGGCUCAUCACAUCCCUGGGGCUGAAGCCGGUCCCAAGGGUAUGGCUGUUCGCCAUUUAAAGUGGUACGCGAGCUGGGUUUAGAACGUCGUGAGACAGUUCGGUCCCUAUCUGCCGUGGACGUUUGAGAUUUGAGAGGGCUGCUCCUAGUACGAGAGGACCGGAGUGGACGAACCUCUGGUGUUCCGGUUGUCACGCCAGUGGCAUUGCCGGUAGCUAUGUUCGGAAAAGAUAACCGCUGAAAGCAUCUAAGCGGGAAACUUGCCUCAGGAUGAGAUCUCACUGGGAACUUGAUUCCCUGAAGGCCGUCGAAGACUACGACGUUGAUAGGCUGGGUGUGUAAGCGUUGUGAGGCGUUGAGCUAACCAGUACUAAUUGCCCGUGAGGC
rnacentral:rRNA from 1 species